GUGGGGAAUUUUGGACAAUGGGCGCAAGCCUGAUCCAGCAAUGCCGCGUGCAGGAAGAAGGCCUUCGGGUUGUAAACUGCUUUUGUACGGAACGAAACGGUCCUGGCUAAUAUCAGGGGCUAAUGACGGUACCGUAAGAAUAAGCACCGGCUAACUACGUGCCAGCAGCCGCGGUAAUACGUAGGGUGCGAGCGUUAAUCGGAAUUACUGGGCGUAAAGCGUGCGCAGGCGGUGCUGUAAGACAGGCGUGAAAUCCCCGGGCUCAACCUGGGAAUUGCGCUUGUGACUGCAGUGCUGGAGUGCGGCAGAGGGGGAUGGAAUUCCGCGUGUAGCAGUGAAAUGCGUAGAUAUGCGGAGGAACACCGAUGGCGAAGGCAAUCCCCUGGGCCUGCACUGACGCUCAUGCACGAAAGCGUGGGGAGCAAACAGGAUUAGAUACCCCGGUAGUCC
rnacentral:rRNA from 1 species